GACGGAGGAUGCAAGUGUUAUCCGGAAUCACUGGGCGUAAAGCGUCUGUAGGUGGUUUAAUAAGUCAACUGUUAAAUCUUGAGGCUCAACCUCAAAAUCGCAGUCGAAACUAUUAGACUAGAGUAUAGUAGGGGUAAAGGGAAUUUCCAGUGGAGCGGUGAAAUGCGUAGAGAUUGGAAAGAACACCGAUGGCGAAGGCACUUUACUGGGCUAUUACUAACACUCAGAGACGAAAGCUAGGUAGCAAAUGGG
rnacentral:rRNA from 1 species